UGUGUGUGUGUCUGUGUGUGUGUGUGUGUGCGUGCGCGCGCGCGCACACACACACACACAUGCAGU